rnacentral:rRNA from 1 species
AGCGUUGUCCGGAUUUAUUGGGCGUAAAGCGAGCGCAGGCGGUUAGAUAAGUCUGAAGUUAAAGGCUGUGGCUUAACCAUAGUAGGCUUUGGAAACUGUUUAACUUGAGUGCAAGAGGGGAGAGUGGAAUUCCAUGUGUAGCGGUGAAAUGCGUAGAUAUAUGGAGGAACACCGGUGGCGAAAGCGGCUCUCUGGCUUGUAACUGACGCUGAGGCUCGAAAGCGUGGGGAGCAAACAGGAUUAGAUACCCUGGUAGUCCACG